GUCUAUGACCAUGCCACACUGAACGUGCUUGAUCUUGUCUGAUCUUGGAAGCUAAGCAGGGUCGGGCCUGGUUAAUACUUGGAUGGGAGACCAUCUAGGAAUACCAGGUGCUGUAGGCG
rnacentral:rRNA from 1 species